rnacentral:rRNA from 1 species
GUUGGAUAACUGAGGUAAUUCUUGAGCUAAUACACGCUAUUUAUACCACAUUAGUGGUGCGUUUAUUUGAUUAAACCAUUUUAUAUUGGUUGACUCAAAAUAUCCUCGCUGAUUUUGUUACUAAAACAUACCGUAUGUGUAUCUGGUUUAUCAACUUUCGAUGGUAGGGUAUUGGCCUACCAUGGUUGUGACGGAUAACGGAGAAUUAGGGUUCGACUCCGGAGAGGGAGCCUGAGAAACGGCUACCACAUCCAAGGAAGGCAGCAGGCGCGAAAAUUACCCAAUUUUAGUUAAAAGAGGUAGUGACGAAAAAUGACAACCAAAUAUUAUUAUUAAUAUUUGGAUUGAAAAUCUUCAAGUAUAAAUAACUUGUUGGUAAAGGAAAGGGCAAGUCUGGUGCCAGCAGCCGCGGUAAUACCAGCUUUCCAAGUGCAUAAAAUGAUUGUUGUGGUUAAAAAGCUCGUAGUUGGAUUAUAAAGAUUGUAUAAUGAGCAUCUUGGAUGUUAUUUAAUCAUUAUCAUCUUAUAUUUUUAUUAUAUUAGAAAUAAUAUAAUAACUGUUACUUUGAAUAAAUCAGAGGGUUUAAACCAGACAUUAUAUGUUUGUAUGGUCUAGCAUGGAAUAACACUAUAGAAAAAUUUAGUGUGGUUUCACUUAAUUUUUCAUGAUUAAUAGGAACAAACGGGGGCAUUCGUAUCGCUACGUUAGAGGUGAAAUUCUUGGACCGUAGCGAGACGUCCUACUGCGAAAGCAUUUGCCAAGAAUGUUUUCAUUAAUCAAGAACGAAAGUUAGAGGUUCGAAGGCGAUCAGAUACCGCCCUAGUUCUAACCGUAAACUAUGCCUACUAGAUGUAUGAAUUAUUAGUUAUAAUAAUUUAUGCAUCUUCUCGGAAACGAAAGUCUUUCGGUUCCGGGGGAAGUAUGGUUGCAAAGCUGAAACUUAAAGGAAUUGACGGAAGGGCACCACCAGGAGUGGAGCCUGCGGCUUAAUUUGACUCAACACGGGAAAACUCACCCGGGCCGGACACUAUAAGGAUUGACAGAUUGAUAGCUCUUUCAUGAUUUAGUGGUUGGUGGUGCAUGGCCGUUCUUAGUUCGUGGAUAUGAUUUGUCUGGUUGAUUCCGAUAACGAGCGAGACUUUUAUGUUAUAUUAAAUAUUAUUAUUUUGUUUAUUUUAAUAUAAAUAAUUAAUAUUUUAAUAACAGAUUAAUAGUGUUUAACUAUUUGAGAGAGAGCGAUAACAGGUCUGUGA